AGAAUGUCCGUUUUGUUCAACCGUGAUGGUUUUGUUCCACAGACAUCAAAUUAAAAUAAAAUUUCACUCAAAAAAAACAUCAUACUUACAACAAAAAUUACUGGUAUAUGUUAAGUAGAAAAUUACCAGUACAAUAUUGAUUUAAUAAAUAAGUAUAUGGACUAUACGAAGAGACAGAUAAUUUGUUGGUUGAUUAUCCAUAAUAUGUAAUGUCCACAAAUGUGCGGACGGCUAACACAAAGUUAUAGUCGUCCGCACAAAUGUGACGGCAAACCACAGCCUUAAUUUUAACUGUGAUUCGUGGAACUGGAAAUGUUGAAAAUAAUGAUUUUUAUUAUUCCUAAAAACUUGAUAAAACUGUGUUGUAGCAACACAUGCGUUCUCCGAAUUUUUAAUCUUAUUGUUUUCAGUUUCAACUAUUCCAUGUGUAAGUGAUGUUGGCAACUAUUACAAAAAAACGUCUUUUUCAUAAUGAAGGCAAUUCCAAAUCAAAAAGCGACCUACAGAUUAGAAUUCAACAGAAAAUUCUACAUAAGAAUCACUUUUAAGUGCGAUAAAGGCGAAAUAGAUCACUACAAGUUUGUGACAAACUUUGCAGUGGAUGUUGUUAGUGAAACCAUUUUUGAGGUUCCCCUGAAUGGGCAAAUCACGAACGCAAAUUACAGUCGCACCUUUGACAAGAUAAUGGAAGUGGUUCUUAUGCGAAUUUUCCGCGUGGAUUAUCACUCUCUUCUCCUGGACGAAGGAAUACAAGGCGGAGCAGGAAAAUGUGAAGCUGGUUAAGGAAACAACGCGUGAUUUGAUCGAGCGGAAAAAAGAGCAAAUUACGUGUCAAUUAGAAGUCGAAGAGGAAAAAAAGCGGCCGUUUCUUGACGUCCUUGUUGAGAAAUAUUUGAAUGAGGAACUGAGUUAUCAGGAAUUGGAGGAUGAAGUUAACACGUUUCUCUUGGCUGUAAUUUUUUGUAAUGUUUUUGGUUCUGACACGAAUGCGAUGGCGGGUUGUUUCGUUUUGACGCUUUUAGGGAUGCACCAAGACGUUCAGGACAAACACUACGAAGAAAUAAUCAAAGUUAUAGGCCCCGAAAAAUCCCCAACCCUUGACGAUUUACCAAAACUCCAGAGUCCGGACCAACUUUUGAGAUGCCUACUCCCGGACUAAGAUGUAUAUCGCCACACGUAUAAAGGUGUUUAAGAAGCUCCGUUACAAUUUUAUAAGAUAACAAUUUUAUCAGAUAAGACAUUGCCACCUUGGGGGAAAAAUUAUGUAAGAACAUAGAUUAUUUUUUUCUAUAAAUUUAUUUGCUACCGCUUUUGUUUUGUUUUACAUUCAAUAUAUUAAAAUUUUGUUAGUCUAAAAGUUGUUUUUUCGUAACACCAGGUCCCUUCUGAAGUCCGACCAAGAGUUUGGUAGCAAAAGAAAACGCU